rnacentral:rRNA from 1 species
CCUACGGGUGGCAGCAGUGGGGAAUAUUGGUCAAUGGGCGAAAGCCUGACCCAGCAACGCCGCGUGAAGGAUGACGGCCCUCGGGUUUUAAACUUCUUUUAACAGGGGCGUAGAAAGUGACGGUACCGGUUGAAUGAGCCACGGCUAACUACGUGCCAGCAGCCGCGGUAAUACGGAGGUUGCAAGCGUUAUGCGGAUUUACUGGGUGUAAAGGGCGUGUAGGCGGGAGAGCAAGUCAGACGUGAAAUUACAGGGCUCAACCCUGGAAUUGCGUUUGAAACUGUUAUUCUUGAGUGAUGGAGAGGCAGGCGGAAUUCGGUGUGUAGCGGUGAAAUGCGUAGAUAUCAGGAGGAACACCAGUGGCGAAGGCGGCUCGCUGGACAUUAACUGACGCUGAGGCGCGAAAGUGUGGGGAGCAAACAGGAUUAGAUACCCGUGUAGUC